AGGGGACUAGUCCAAAUACAAGACCUCUGAUUUCGGCUCAGAAAACCACGGUUAAAAUCCGCGGUCCCCUU
rnacentral:tRNA from 1 species